CUGGCAUUUCCCAGAAGGCCCAGCGCCGGGAAGGGGUUUGCAGCUGCUCCGUCAUCGUGCGGCCCGACGCGAGCCGCUCUCGCGUGCAGGCCCGUCUCGGUUCCUGGUCCGUGGCACGAGGGUUCACGCGAGGUCCCGGCCUCCGUCCCCGGACUAGGCCGCGACCCCGGGCGCCAUGAAGCAGGAGGGCUCGGCGCGGCGCCGCGGCGCGGACAAGGCGAAGCCACCGCCUGGCGGAGACGAACAAGAACCACCACCGCCCCCGGCUCCCCAGGAUGUGGAGAUGAAAGAAGAGGCGACAGCGGGUGGCGGGUCAACGGGGGAGGCAGACGGCAAGGCGACGGCAGCGGCGGCUGAGCACUCCCAGCGAGAAGUGGACACCGUCACCUUGGAGGACAUCAAAGAGCACGUGAAACAGCUGGAGAAGGCCGUUUCGGGCAAGGAGCCGAGAUUCGUGCUGAGGGCCCUGCGAAUGCUACCUUCCACGUCACGGCGCCUCAACCACUAUGUUUUGUAUAAGGCUGUGCAUGGCUUCUUCACCUCAAAUAAUGCCACUCGAGACUUCUUGCUAUCCUUCCUGGAAGAGCCCAUGGACACAGAAGCCGAUUUACAGUUCCGUCCCCGGACAGGAAAAGCUGCGUCGGCGCCGCUCCUGCCUGAGGUGGAAGCCUACCUCCAGCUCCUCACGGUCAUCUUCCUGAUGAACAGCAAGCGCUACAGAGAGGCACAGAAAAUCUCUGAUGACCUGAUGCAGAAGAUCAGUACUCAGAACCGCCGGGCCCUAGAUCUUGUGGCUGCAAAGUGUUAUUAUUAUCACGCCCGGGUCUAUGAGUUCUUGGACAAGCUGGAUGUGGUGCGCAGCUUCUUGCAUGCUCGGCUCCGGACAGCCACCCUUCGGCACGACGCAGACGGUCAGGCCACCCUGCUGAACCUCCUGCUGCGGAACUACCUACACUACAGCCUGUAUGACCAGGCAGAGAAGCUGGUGUCCAAGUCCGUGUUCCCUGAGCAGGCCAACAACAACGAGUGGGCAAGGUACCUCUACUACACAGGGCGAAUCAAAGCCAUCCAGCUGGAGUACUCAGAGGCCCGGAGAACCAUGACCAAUGCCCUUCGCAAGGCCCCUCAGCACACAGCGGUCGGCUUCAAACAGACGGUGCACAAGCUUCUUAUUGUGGUGGAGCUGUUGCUGGGGGAGAUCCCAGACCGGCUGCAGUUCCGACAGCCCUCCCUCAAGCGCUCGCUCACGCCCUACUUCCUUCUGACCCAAGCUGUCAGGACAGGAAACCUAGCCAAGUUCAACCAGGUCCUCGAUCAGUUUGGGGAGAAGUUUCAGGCAGAUGGAACCUACACCCUAAUUAUCCGACUGCGACACAACGUGAUCAAGACAGGUGUACGCAUGAUCAGCCUCUCCUAUUCCCGAAUCUCCCUGGCUGACAUCGCUCAGAAGCUGCAGCUGGAUAGCCCAGAAGAUGCAGAAUUCAUUGUUGCCAAGGCCAUCCGCGAUGGCGUCAUUGAGGCCAGCAUCAACCACGAGAAGGGUUAUGUCCAGUCCAAGGAGAUGAUCGACAUCUAUUCCACCCGAGAGCCCCAGCUGGCCUUCCACCAGCGCAUCUCCUUCUGCCUAGAUAUCCACAACAUGUCGGUCAAGGCCAUGAGGUUUCCUCCCAAAUCAUACAACAAGGACUUGGAAUCUGCAGAGGAGCGGCGGGAGCGAGAGCAGCAAGACUUGGAGUUUGCCAAGGAGAUGGCGGAAGAUGAUGAUGACAGCUUCCCUUGAGCUGGGGGUCUGGAGACGGGUGGGGUGAAUAGGAACUGGCUCUUUCUCUUUCCCCCUUGGGGUCCCCUGUCCAAGAAACUGGCCCCCUUUUCCCCACACACAGCUCACAGACUGCAUAUGUGCAGGGGUGAGGGCUGCUGGGAGCCGGCCACCCCCUCCCCACCCCAGGGCCCCUCCCCAGCUGGUGACUUAGCACCGGGUAAGCAGGAAGGUAGGCAGGUGGCCUCCCCAGGGCAGGGUCCUGGCUAGUGGUGUGGGCAGCAAGAAAGGAGGGUAGCCUUGUGCUCUCCUCUAGGGAGUAGGGGACUGGAAUUGGAACAUGUGUUGGGUUGUAUGUUUUCUGAAGCUUCAGUUACAAUUCGUAAACAAUAAAAAGGUCUCCGAAGA